UCAGGACGAACGCUGGCGGCGUGCUUAACACAUGCAAGUCGAACGGUGACGAAUGGAGCUUGCUCUGUUCUGAUCAGUGGCGAACGGGUGAGUAACACGUGAGUAACCUGCCCCAGACUCUGGAAUAACCCCGGGAAACCGGAGCUAAUACCGGAUAUGACACCAAUCUGCAUGGAUAUGGUGUGGAAAGUUUUUCGGUCUGGGAUGGACUCGCGGCCUAUCAGCUUGUUGGUGAGGUAAUGGCUCACCAAGGCGACGACGGGUAGCCGGCCUGAGAGGGCGACCGGCCACACUGGGACUGAGACACGGCCCAGACUCCUACGGGAGGCAGCAGUGGGGAAUAUUGCACAAUGGGCGAAAGCCUGAUGCAGCGACGCCGCGUGAGGGAUGACGGCCUUCGGGUUGUAAACCUCUUUCAGCAGGGAAGGAAGCGAAAGUGACG
rnacentral:rRNA from 1 species